GAUGAACGCUAGCGGGAGGCCUAACACAUGCAAGCCGAGCGGUAGAGUUUCUUCGGUGACUUGAGAGCGGCGCACGGGUGCGUAACACGUGUGCAACCUACCUUUCUCUGGGGGAUAGACUUUCGAAAGGAAGAUUAAUACCCCAUAAUAUAAUGAUUGGCAUCCAUUAUUAUUGAAAACUCCGGUGGAUAGAGAUGGGCACGCGCAAGAUUAGAUAGUUGGUGAGGUAACGGCUCACCAAGUCAAGGAUCUUUAGGGGUCCUGAGAGGGAGAGCCCCCACACUGGGACUGAGACACUGACCAGAGUCCUACGGGACGCAGCAGUGAGGAAUAUUGGAGUAUGGGUGAGUGCCUGAUCCAGCCAUCCCGCGUGAAGGAUGACGGUCCUAGGGAUUGUAAACUUCUUUUGUACAGGGAUAAACCUACGCUCGGGAGGGUAGCUGAAGGUACUGUACGAAUAAGCACCGGCUAACUACGUG
rnacentral:rRNA from 1 species